AAGUAAGAAGUAAAAUUUACAUUUAGUUUCGACCUAAAAAUUUGAUGCCAAGCAUCCUUACUUG
rnacentral:tRNA from 1 species